rnacentral:tmRNA from 1 species
CCUCUCGAUUCGAGAGGGCGGCAUCGCUAUAUGUGGGGCGUCACCUCGGUGACUAUGGCGAUAAACGUUGCGUGGAAUAAACGUUGCGGACCCGGGGGCAGUGCCCGGCGUCUCCACCAUCACCACCUUCCUUGUCGGGAAGGACGGCAUGGGGACGAAACAGGCUCGACGCGCGUGGUAAAGACGCAGCUUUUGCCCGGCAUUGUACCGCCGUUAUCGGGCUAAAUCACAAGUGCCAACGACAACAGCCGCGAGGCUGUGGCGCUCGCUGCCUAACAGGUAAGCGCGGUUCGGGGGGCACCGGGCAACAGAAGCCCCCCACU